AAGUCGAGCGGAAACGAUCCUAGCUUGCUAGGAGGCGUCGAGCGGCGGACGGGUGAGUAACACGUGAGAAUCUGCCCAUUAGAGGGGGAUAACCUGGGGAAACCCAGGCUAAUACCGCAUAAUCCCUACGGGGGAAAGCAGGGGAUCUUCGGACCUUGUGCUGAUGGAUGAGCUCGCGUCGGAUUAGCUUGUUGGUGAGGUAAUGGCUCACCAAGGCGACGAUCCGUAGCUGGUCUUAGAGGAUGAUCAGCCACACCGGGACUGAGACACGGCCCGGACUCCUACGGGAGGCAGCAGUGGGGAAUCUUGGACAAUGGGGGCAACCCUGAUCCAGCCAUGCCGCGUGUGUGAAGAAGGCCUUCGGGUUGUAAAGCACUUUCAGUAGGGAGGAAGGCUUAUCCUUAAUACGGAUGAGUACUUGACGUUACCUACAGAAGAAGCACCGGCUAAUUUCGUGCCAGCAGCCGCGGUAAUACGAAAGGUGCGAGCGUUAAUCGGAAUUACUGGGCGUAAAGCGCGCGUAGGCGGUUUGCUAAGUCAGAUGUGAAAGCCCCGGGCUCAACCUGGGAACUGCAUUUGAAACUGGCAGGCUAGAAUGCAGUAG
rnacentral:rRNA from 1 species